CGUCUAUAUACGUAUAGCAUAUCAAUAAGCGGAGGAAAAGAAACUAACAAGGAUUCCCUUAGUAACGGCGAGUGAAGCGGGAAGAGCUCAAAUUUGAAAUCUUCAAGGUUCUACCUUGACGAAUUGUAGUUUAAAGAAGUGUUUUCUGUUGAAGUUUUGGUAAAAGUUCUUUGGAAUAGGACAUCAUAGAGGGUGAGAAUCCCGUAUUUGACCAUUACUUCCAGCUUUGUGAUACACUUUCAAAGAGUCGGAUUGUUUGGGAAUGCAGUCCAAAAUGGGUGGUAAAUUUCAUCUAAAGCUAAAUACUGGCGAGAGACCGAUAGCGAACAAGUACCGUGAGGGAAAGAUGAAAAGAACUUUGAAAAGAGAGUUAAACAGUACGUGAAAUUGUCAAAAGGGAAGCGUUUGACACCAGUGUUGUUUUCUCGAAAAUCAAUUAAAAAUGGUGGGAUUUUGUGUUGUAUUGACCUUAUCAGCUUUCUGCACUUUUUUCCUAUCUUUUUUAAUGCACUUUUCGUUUAACAAGUCAACAUCAAUUUCUUUUGUUGUAAAAGAGUCAUUGGAAGGUGGCUUUCUUUUCGGAGAAAGUGUUUAUAGCCUUUGACUUCUGCAAUCGGAGAGAUUGAGGUCUGCAGCGUAGAUCCUUCGGGGUUAGAUGCAUUUGUGCUAAGCUAUAGCCUUUCAUAGACAACUUGUUGACUAUGAUCAGUCAUGUAGCUUACUCGCUUAUGUCAUUUUACCUACGCUUAGGGAUGUUGACGAUCAGCUGAGCGCG
rnacentral:rRNA from 1 species